rnacentral:rRNA from 1 species
UGCGUAGGCGGCCUGACAAGUCAGAGGUGAAAGGCUACGGCUUAACCGUAGUAAGCCUUUGAAACUGCCAGGCUUGAGUGCAGGAGAGGAAAGUGGAAUUCCUAGUGUAGCGGUGAAAUGCGUAGAUAUUAGGAGGAACACCAGUGGCGAAGGCGACUUUCUGGACUGUAACUGACGCUGAGGCACGAAAGCGUGGGGAGCGAACA